AUAAAUUGUACAUUUUCUAGUUAGCGCUUGCAAUUAGAGGUGUGUUGGUGUUUUAUAGCUCCAUGGCAAGUUAGGUGCUCACCAUUGGGGUCUACUCCAGCCUCCUUUGUGAAUCUUCUUUCACCGAUUAUUCAUCAAGGUGAAGCUGGCCAUAUGAGGCAAUCAGAAGCAGACUGAAUCAGUAGCCACCUCUAUCUCAAAAAGUUGGCAAGACAAGUGUACAGAAAUUCCUUACAUUCAACAUGGCUAUAGCUCUGGAAGUACAAGGUAUCAUUGGCAAAUCAGAUAAUCAAAUACCACGUAGUAGUGCAGGUAUUCUAAGAGAGCAGUGGACAGUUCAUUGAGGGAUUAGUUGUCAAGUAAGGUGAAAGAAAAGCAGAUUGAAGGAAAGGAUUAUCCAGAUUAGGUCUCUGGAUCUAACAAUGACAUUACCAGGGGAGGUUUCAUGAAAGGACUUGUUGGACUGAUUAUCUGACUGUUUUUAUCCAACUGUUACCAUAGUAACAGCGCCUCCCAGUCAAUCAGAGUCAAGGAAAUAUGUGAGAUCUGACAGCUCGUCAGACUAAAUUAUUGAUGAAACAAUCCCCUAAUCAUCAAGGAGUGAAGAAGUUUUAUAGUUCUUUGUCUUCCUUGUAAUCCUGUGAGGUCUGAUGAAGCGAGUCUUCCAUCCAGUGUACAAGAUAACAAUAGGUCUGAUGACAUGGGGUUGGAGUGUAUAAUUCCACCGAAAACUUAUGGAAAAAGACUUUGCUAGGUGUCCAAGAUGAGGAACAAUGGUCCAAUGUUGAGCCAGACAAUAUGAUUGAUGUUGAAGACGUUUUAUAGGCAAUCGUCAACGUUUGGAAAAUGCUUAUGACAAUUCACAAUCAAAUAUUGAGAAUGGAAAAAAGAAAAUAUCGAAGACUCCAAGAGUGACCUGAAGACCAUGUCUGAGUGAUGCUUUUAAAACCAUGGAGACCGAUACUGCAAUUUUUGCACAAGAUCAGGAGCUCGACCCAAAGGCAGAAAUGGGAAGGAGAUUGUUUGAUUUGUGGACGUGGUCAAUGAAGACAACAGUGUGUAGGAGUCGGCACUCUGAAUUGGACAAGGCUCUGGAAAUACACGUAGAGAUUCUUUGGCUAAAUGAUUUGCGAGGAUUGAGCUUGCUGGAUAGAGAUAGAGAGAAACUGCCACGUUAUUCUUGGGAUUUCAUCGAAUCUUGAAAGAAGGGUGCCCUCAUGUAAGACGGUGCCUGGAAACAUUCAAGAAACGUAUGACUGAGCAGCUGGAGAAAUAUCCUGCACUACAAGGUUUUCAGCGAGUGGCCAAGCAUGGGACGUCCCAGGCGCAAGAUAAGGCCGCCCUCAACGAUGACGGACAGACCAAGCUUCCAAAUGUCACACUGCAAGAGUAGCCCAGGUUUCUGAAUUAUGUCAUAAAGAGCGGGAGGGGGGGGGCGCAUUCAUCAAAAAUCACAUUUUAAUGUGUGUAUGGUUUUAAUUUUCAUUUUGUGAUUGUAAAAGGUACAGGAUAUCUCCCUUAAAUGCAACUGUUUAGACCAAUAUUAAUGGGUGAUGUUAUAAACGGGGGAGGGGGGGGGGGGGGCAAAGUGGGAAAUUCUAGUAAAUACUGGUAAAUACUGCCUCAAUAAUUUGGAAAUGCAGGGAAAUACUAUGAAAGUUUCUUGAAUAUUUUCCUGGUAUCGCCCAGGCAUUUCUAGCAUUCUCCUGUACCACCCUUUACAUCCUCUAUUACUUCCCAAUAUUCCCCCUCCCCCCAGUAUUUCCCACCUGGUUGGGACUGCAUUUUCAUGGGAAAUUGCCAACCCUGAUUCGAAGUCCUGGAACCAGUAACACAAAGGUCAGCAAUUAAUCGUACGCUUUAUUCUUAUGAUGAAUUAUACAUUGUAGCCAAUGCUAAACUUUGUGUUGAGGGCCACAGGUCUAAAGUCCAUACUAAACCAUCAUAUUGAAAAAGGAAGAUUAGUGUGAUUAGAGUCACACUUAAAUAUUUAUAAAAAAAAGAAAGAUAAAUAUUCCAAAGAAUUCACUGAAAUCCAAUUCAUGUUUUUGUUCUCAGUUACAUGUUAGGAUAAUUUUUUUGAAAAUCAUAAUGUGCAUGAUUAUUAAUAAUCUGUAUGUGAUGAAUGUAUUGGCACCCAGAAACCCAUUUGGUGUAAUCAAGCUUUUUUUAAGGUUCUCCGACAACACAACCUACAUGUAUAGACUCAAGGGACCUACUGCAGAAAGAGUUGAUGCAUUUAUAUACAGCCCUAUUUUUUGUACACAAU
rnacentral:lncRNA from 1 species